UAAAAGCUCUUUGAGUAGUCCAGCAGCCCAUUUAACACCCUGUACUCCUCAUCUGGAGGUCCUGGCUCCAAACGGAAAAGGAAAGGGAGGAAACGGGGCAAUGUCAAAAAACCGAUAAAUAACAUCAUUAACAUUUCUCAGGCUACAUCCACACUUAUACGUUGUUGUUUUAAAACGCAUAACUUUUGCUUCGUUUAUGCCUGGUGUCCAAACUACUCUGGCAUUUUCAAACCCUUAAAAUGGAGACUUUUGAAAAUGCUGCUAACUCCAUUUUAGUUUGAAAACUGCAACACCUUUAUACUCACGUUACUCUCAGUAACAGUUCCACCUCGUCGUCGGUCCAAUCAAAGAAAUAUCGUCUUACUUUUGGCCACUGCUGUUCUUCUUCUGUAGUAUUUUCAGCAACUAAGCAACCAACCGCAGAGUAGACAAUCUGCUUCCUGUUUACAUGUGCGUGCCAAGUGUAUGUGAAUGGUCAUGUGAUCUGCGCCUUCGGACGUGUUAGUACGGACAGGGAUGAUUUCUGAAACGGUGCUAAAAUGCUCGUCGUGUUUGUGUGGACGUAUUCUAACACUGUCGUGAAUGAUAUAAGAAAUACAUAAAGUCUCUAAGAGCUCAUACACAAGUGGCCUCGAUCUGAUAUGAAAAAAUAGAAAACAGAAUCUCUUCCGUUUCAGCAAGUAAUGUCGCUGCAGACAUCAGGUUCGUUGUGGCUAAUAUAAAGUUUGUAUUAGAGCUACUCGGCAGGUCGGCUGUGCACUUGACAAGCAUGAUAAAAUAUACAAUUUUUCAUGUUUCCACUGUGUAUUAUUUAGGAAGAAAAAUGUUCCUCGUCUAUAUUUCUGUCAUUUGAACAAUAAGACCGUUUUACUUGCAAAAUCACACCGUCGAACCAAGUUUGAACAACAAACAAACCAUGAUGAAUCGGUUGCUGUGGAAACAAAAUCAAAUCCUGAUUUCCUGUUUCAGCGGCGCCGCUGCUAACGUGCAUAGAGUUAAACUCUGCUCAUCUUCAACUCGUUGCUCUUGGCGCUGGCGUCAUUCUGCUCGCUGCUGCCGAGGUGUCUGAAGCCCUUCGGUUCCAGAUUUCGUUGAAGAGGACAGAAGCUGGUAUUCUCUGUUUAACACAUGUGAGGAGUCAGAAGAGAUGCUGUUAGCAGGUCUGAGGCCAAUGAGCUUCACACAAAUUCAGAUUUGAUUAAAUAGUUUAGUUGCUGAACCAGGUUGUUCUGCAGUACAGCCCGACACUGAAGAACCGAUUGACAUGCUGCUGUAUCUUCUUACAAAUAGAUUCCAUGAUAAGCUGGCAGCUGACAGUCAGGAGGGUUGAUAGUUUCAUUUGAUAAUCUUGCAUAUUUUCUAACUGUGCUGUGAUGUUUUACUGUUUGUUUGGGGAGAAUAAAACCAGAGCAACAUCACUGCUGAGUUCAUGAUGUAUGAACAGACUGUCCACAGCGAGUCCUGACAGGACGAGACGACGGCAGUUUAACUCUGCAGAUUAAUGCUGUUACGAUUCAAACCAAACAAGGAGGCAGCGUGAGCAGAGGAUUGUGGGAGCUGAGCAGCUGCCAAUGAGACGCCGCUGACGGCAGCGACCGCCCCUGAAACAGGAAGCUGUUUAAAAGUUAUCUGAGCGAACCUGAACGCGAGUCCAGGUCAAGUCCCCAGUCUGUCAAAGCAAGUCCAUCACAAGUCUAAAACCAGUGGACACAAGUCCCAGUCGGUCAAAGUCUCAAAUCCAGUCUCAGGUCCUUUGGAGGUCAGAUCAAGUCAAAUCUCAAGUCCUAGAAGGUCAAGUCAAGUCUUGAGUGUGUCUUCCUGUCUCCACCAGGUCAAAACGCAAGACUUCAAAAUGUCUGCCUUCAAAUCUUUAAAGGGUCGAGAACUGAAGGAUGAAUCGACUCGUUUCUGGAGUCCGGCUGAAGAUGAGAAGUUGGAUAACGAGCCGGCAGGGCGGACAAGCGGAGCGCGGCGGCG